rnacentral:lncRNA from 1 species
CUUCCAAUGUUUGCCUCAGGGAUUUCCAAUGCACAUGACAUCUUAAAAACCAUCAUCCCCAUGGAUUUUAGUCAUCUUCACACUUGAGCACAUACUUAAUCAUAGUCACCACUUACUAGUUCACAUUUAAUCAAGUAAAACAAUGUUUUGAAUGUAGUAACAUGCCUUAGAGAAUUUGCUCAAUUCCUUACAAGAUAUGCACUCAAUUUUCACUCAGAUUUUCUAACUACACACCCUAUACUAGUUAUAUGUGAGAAGAUUGAUGUAGACAUGAAAACGAACGCUCACAUAUAUGUAUAACAAAGAAAGCAGUUUCUGGAGUUAGUAAGCAUUUAGAUAUGAUCUCAUGAAUGGAAUGCUACUACUUAAAUGCGAGAACCAGUGACACCAUAUGCUCAUACCAACUUCAAACUCCACAAAUUGAAACACAUAACACUCAAGAUUGAAGUCAAGGGUUAUUACGGGGCUUGGGGUAUUGGUUAACAAAGAAAGGAUAGGGAUAACAAACGUUAUUAAAGUAAUAGCAAGCAAAGUAAUGAAAUCGAAACUUUAUAAUUCACUUUAGAAUGCAGAAAUCAACUUUUAAACACAAAGGGAAGAUUCAUGCAACACUUAGGGCCAAAUUCGAUGGUUUGGGCCCUUUCUCCAACAACCAACACUUUAGAACUCUUUUUCAUACAUUUUUGAACUUUUUUUUUCUUCUUUCUAAUUUCCACUAAUUUUUCUUUUUUUCUUUCUACCCGUGCCACAUUAAAGACUAUGGCAUACACACACAUCC